CAAAACCCAUCAAGCUUGAAUUUAUUCAUGACUUGGUAUUGGAGUUGGAGUGAGCAUGUGCCAUUCCUAUCCGAAAACCAAUGGCAAAGUUGUCUGCACCAAUAAGCGUAGUAACCAACAUUAUGUUUCGCUUUGGUAUAGAUACAUCUUCCGCCGUUAACCCCCCAUUUCAAGU
rnacentral:misc_RNA from 1 species